GUGCUUGCUUCAGCAGAACAUAUACUAAAAUUGGAAGGAUACAGAGAUUAGCAUUGCCCCUCUGCAAGGAUGACAUGCAAAUUUGUGAGGCAUUCUAUAAUUUU